UACGGAGGAUCCAAGCGUUAUCCGGAAUUACUGGGCGUAAAGAGUUGCGUAGGUGGCAUAGUAAGCAAGUAGUGAAAGCGUUCGGCUCAACCGAAUAAACAUUACUUGAACUGCUAAGCUAGAGGAUAGGAGAGGUUAUUGGAAUUCCCUGUGUAGGAGUGAAAUCCGUAGAUAUAGGGAGGAACACCGAUGGCGUAGGCAGAUAACUGGCCUAUUUCCUGACACUAAGGCACGAAAGCGUGGGUAGCAAACGGG
rnacentral:rRNA from 1 species